CUCCUCAACAGUGCUGAGCAGAGUGGCGAAUGGACAUUCUUCUUGCUCUACUUUUUCUUAGAGGAAGGUGCCCAGUAUUUCAUCAUUAAGGAUCAUACAGGGGAGAAACUCUCUUUUGUUGUUGCGUGAUACUCGGUUCUCUGCUCGUACUUAAGAGUUGACAACUGUAAAUAAAGUGGCAGCACUGAGCAUAUGGUAGAACUCUAACCCAGCUUUCUGAAGAAUAUCGCGCUGCCAGAUCUUACCAGGCCUUGCGGGAGGAGGUUACAUCAAUCGGCUUGCUUUGUGGCCACCCUCACGACUGGAAGCUCAGUCUCUGCGAGGGACACUACCAUCUCAGACUGUG